rnacentral:rRNA from 1 species
UACGUAGGUGGCAAGCGUUGUCCGGAUUUAUUGGGUUUAAAGGGUGCGUAGGCGGUCAUGUAAGUCAGUGCCGAAAUAUCCCGGCUUAACCGGGAGGGUGGCAUUGAUACUGUAUGACUUGAGUAAAGUUGAGGUUGGCGGAAUUGACGGUGUAGCGGUGAAAUGCUUAGAUAUCGUCAAGAACACCUAUUGCGAAGGCAGCUAACUAAGCUUUAACUGACGCUGAGGCACGAAAGUGUGGGGAUCAAACAGG